UGUCACUCUGCUAAUCACCAAAGAAGGAAUAGGAAAAAAUGAAUGUUCCUUAAAAAUAACUUAAAGGCUUAACUGUGCCUAUUGAUGAAACAUCAAGCAAUUAAAAGAGAGACCUGUAUAUUCUCUCAAGUGUGAAACACUCAGUUGGUAUCACAUUACCAAUUCCAGGAGAGCAACUCUAAUGAUCAAGCCACGUCUUCACCUGCUGUAUGUAACUGCUGAUGAAACAGAGAAGAGGUGUAUGCUCUCUAUUAAUGGUCAGUUAGAUAGAAAACACCUCCCCAAGGGCAGACACGUCACUCUGAAAGGCACAUCAGUGGGCAUUAACAUCUGUCUUAAAUCAACAGCUACUGUGCAAUGGCCAUGUCAGAGAUGAUUAAGGAAAUUUCUGUGAAUGAAUAUCUCUAGCGAGAUUAAAAUAAAUCAGGUGAUUCAAUUUUUUUUCCUCAGAAAAACAUCCUGUGGUAUAAUGUCUGUAAUAAAACCACUCCCCAAUGAAGAAGUGGCUUUACCUGCUGCUGAUUCUUCAGCUUCAGCGAGAGUAAUGACAAAUGGACCCAGUUUUUUGGUCAGAGAUAAAAGUCCAUGGACUUAUUAUAACAAGCCCAUUACACUCAUUGCCAUUGGAGGACUGGUCUUUUUUGGUGGUAUCAUCCUCACUGUAUUGUACUUUAAAUACGUAAGUGUCCCAUAUGCCCUGGGACCUGUUUGUCUUUCCAUUGGACUGAUGUUUCUCAUCACAGGAAUUGUGUGGAUGCCAAUCAUUAAACAGACAAUCAGAUAUAAUGGGCUUCUGAGAAGAAAAUAUCCAAGAAAAUCCAGAGCUGCAUGCAGUUGCAGUGUAUGAAUGAAACUUUUUAUUUUUUUUAAAUGGUGUUUUGUUUAUCUUUUGUGUCAACCACUACAAUGCCAAAGGUGAACUGAAAAAAACGUAAAGAUCACCUCCAUUGUACUUGCUUCUAAUGUCUUAAUCUUUUGCCUUUGUAUUAAAAAAAUAAAGCUUCUGCUUUGAGACAGCUAA